rnacentral:rRNA from 1 species
CCUACGGGAGGCAGCAGUAAGGAAUAUUGGUCAAUGGAGGCAACUCUGAACCAGCCAUGCCGCGUGCAGGAAGACGGCCCUCUGGGUUGUAAACUGCUUUUAUUCGGGAAUAAACCUGCUUACGUGUAAGUAGCUGAAUGUACCGAAGGAAUAAGGAUCGGCUAACUCCGUGCCAGCAGCCGCGGUAAUACGGAGGAUCCAAGCGUUAUCCGGAUUUAUUGGGUUUAAAGGGUGCGUAGGCGGCCUGUUAAGUCAGGGGUGAAAGACGGUAGCUCAACUAUCGCAGUGCCCUUGAUACUGAUGGGCUUGAAUGGACUAGAGGUAGGCGGAAUGAGACAAGUAGCGGUGAAAUGCAUAGAUAUGUCUCAGAACACCGAUUGCGAAGGCAGCUUACUAUGGUCUUAUUGACGCUGAGGCACGAAAGCGUGGGGAUCAAACAG